CUCUCUUUGUCAAUCAUAAUUAGCUCAUUUAGGUCUCAGGAGAGAGGAAAACAAUAAUGAUGACAGCUAAUGGUGACAUAAUAUUAAAGAAAUUACAGUAGUCUAGUAGUAGUAGGCGGAGGAGGAGCAUUAAAAUGAGACAAAUGGGUAAAGCAUGGAAACAAACAGUAGAGAAGGAGAAAUAGCUACAUGGGGGCUGCUUAGAAUCACAGCCACUGCUAACUAACGACAGUUCUUUUCCCAAAAGAAAAAAUAUCACUGCUUUCUGAUAUUCAGAAUUAGGAGGAGGAACACAUUUGACACGAAAUUCCCAAGUUGUUUAGAAGCUAUACUGAACAAAGUAUAGAAAUGCGACGCCCUCCAAACAGUAAAUAGAAAGCCAGCCAGAAAGA
rnacentral:lncRNA from 1 species